AGCGGCGGACGGGUGAGUAACGCGUGGGUGACCUGCCCCAUACCGGGGGAUAACAGCUGGAAACGGCUGCUAAUACCGCAUAAGCGCACAGAGCUGCAUGGCUCGGUGUGAAAAACUCCGGUGGUAUGGGAUGGGCCCGCGUCUGAUUAGGCAGUUGGCGGGGUAACGGCCCACCAAACCGACGAUCAGUAGCCGGCCUGAGAGGGCGACCGGCCACAUUGGGACGGAGACACGGCCCAAACUCCUACGGGAGGCAGCAUG
rnacentral:rRNA from 1 species